rnacentral:rRNA from 1 species
UACCAGCACCCCGAGUUGUCGGGACGAUUAUUGGGCCUAAAGCAUCCGUAGCCUGUUCUGCAAGUCCUCCGUUAAAUCCACCCGCUUAACGGAUGGGCUGCGGGGGAUACUGCAGAGCUAGGAGGCGGGAGAGGCAAACGGUACUCAGUGGGUAGGGGUAAAAUCCAUUGAUCUACUGAAGACCACCAGUGGCGAAGGCGGUUUGCCAGAACGCGCUCGACGGUGAGGGAUGAAAGCUGGGGAAGCAAACCGG